rnacentral:rRNA from 1 species
AUUGAACGCUGGCGGCAGGCCUAACACAUGCAAGUCGGACGGUAGCACAGAGGAGCUUGCUCCUUGGGUGACGAGUGGCGGACGGGUGAGUAAUGUCUGGGGAUCUGCCCGAUAGCGAGGGAUAACCACUGGAAAUGGUGGCUAAUACCCCAUAACGUCGGAAGACCAAAGAUGGGGACCUUCGGGCCUCCCAUUCUGGGCUGAACCCAGAUGGGAUUAGCUAGUAGUCGGGGUAAUGGCCCACCUAGGCGACGAUCCCUAGCUGGUCUGAGAGGAUGACCAGCCACACUGGAACUGAGACACGGUCCAGACUCCUACGGGAGGCAGCAGUGGGGAAUAUUGCACAACGGGCGCAAGCCUGAUGCAGCCAUGCCGCGUGUAUGAAGAAGGCCUUCGGGUUGUAAAGUACUUUCGGCGGGGAGGAAGGCGGUGAGGUUAAUAACCUCGCCGAUUGACGUUACCCGCAGAAGAAGCACCGGCUAACUCCGUGCCAGCCGCCGCGGUAA